rnacentral:rRNA from 1 species
GAUGAACGCUGGCGGCGUGCCUAAUACAUGCCAGUCGAGCGAACAGACGAGGAGCUUGCUCCUCUGACGUUAGCGGCGGACGGGUGAGUAACACGUGGAUAACCUACCUAUAAGACUGGGAUAACUUCGGGAAACCGGAGCUAAUACCGGAUAAUAUAUUGAACCGCAUGGUUCAAUAGUGAAAGACGGUUUUGCUGUCACUUAUAGAUGGAUCCGCGCCGCAUUAGCUAGUUGGUAAGGUAACGGCUUACCAAGGCAACGAUGCGUAGCCGACCUGAGAGGGUGAUCGGCCACACUGGAACUGAGACACGGUCCAGGCUCCUACGGGAGGCAGCAGUAGGGAAUCUUCCGCAAUGGGCGAAAGCCUGACGGAGCAACGCCGCGUGAGUGAUGAAGGUCUUCGUAUCGUAAAACUCUGUUAUUAGGGAAGAACAAAUGUGUAAGUAACUAUGCACGUCUUGACGGUACCUAAUCAGAAAGCCACGGCUAACUACGUG